GUCUCUAGUAAUAUUAAACUAUAUGCAGACAAGCUUAAUCCUUCCUUUCAAAUCAAUUUUUAAUGCAAAAAGAGGUUCAUUCUUAGAACAUCAUCAGACAUGAUUCCCUUUUCCAUGAUAUCACAAUUGGGAAAUUGGAGGAAAGCAAGUCAUUUUAUUGUCUUAAUUGAAUUUAUUUCAAAGAAAGGUCUUAAAUAAAAGAAAUGUGCUUAUAUUAUAUUUCAAUCUUCUAAUUGGCCUGAAUCUAGAUAAAUUGGUAAUAAAUUCAGCAGAGACUACUAAAUGUCUGAUAUCAAUGUUAAUGAAGUGUUGUACAUUUUUCUACUUUCGGUGUUGGGAGCAAUUAAUAGGAAUAAACUUCAUUUUCUAAAGAGAUAACUUUUAUAUUAGCCACUGAUAUGAGGAUUCAUUCCUGAAAUAUUUAAUCAACACAAUACACAAUCUGUAUCACAAAUAACUUCAUUAGCCAGAUGGAAUACAUGUAUUAAAGCAAGAAAAUUUUAUAUCACUUUUUAUUUGAGCAAAAAAUUAUAACAAAAAUCUAUUGCUUCUUCAGCAUAAGUUAAUAAUCUGAUACAUAUAAAAGAUGUUAUCAAUGACGCAGAAUAUCAAUUCCAAUUUCUUAAUUUCAUUUCACCACUUUCCAACAAACAAAAUUUAUACUGAUAUACCCUGUAUUUUACAAUUUAUAAUUUCUCUUUCAUUAGUAUUUUAUUAGAUAAAAUUAUGUACUUUUUUACUUGUAAUCUGACAGCAAAUCUAUAUCUUUUUACAGUAUAAACAGCCUUUUUUUGCAUAAUCAAUAUGUCUUCAUCUAUAAAUACGAUAAGGCAUAUUUCAAGCAGAAAAUGUUUAUAAUGCAGGCAAUGGCUUAUUUAUACAUGUUAUAUAUAAGCAAUUACAUGUGUCAGGCCUAAAAUUUCUGCAGAGCAAAACUAUAAUUUUCUGAUUUCUACCCACCUUAAUUUGCAAUGAAAAGAGUAUAAAAUACUGAUUUCCUUACACAGAUUUUUGCAUUUAAAUUAUCUAAUUGUUGCAAUGGAAUAUAUAAUUUAUAAUUGUUGCAAUGAAAAAGUUUAAAUUUCUUAUGAUCUCCUUUUUUCUUUACUGCAAUUCGAUGGAAAAGUUUGAAUUUCUUAUUCACCUCCGAAAUUUCUGCAAUGAAACGGUAUAAAGAUAUGAAUCUUAUCCCCUUCCUGAUUUUUCUGAUUUCUUCCCUACAUUAACUGAUUUUAUUUCUGCUACAUCUAUAUUUGAAUGAGUUCAAUUUUGUGAAAUCUUUAGAAUAUACUGGCCUUUAAUUAUGUGCAUAUUUUUAUUAUAAAAUAGAAAUGAUGACAAUAUUACAACAACCUACAAUAAAAUAUGCAAAAAUAACAAGUGUACAGACAAUUGACUAGAUGUAUGGAAGAAUUUCAAUUGUAACCAAAAAUAGAUAUGGGAAGAUGUGGUAUUAGUGCCAAUGAGACAACUCUCCAUCCAAGUCACAAUUAUAUUAAGGCAAAUUAACAGUAAUAGAUGAUGUUUCAUAUUCUGAUCCACUUGACAUACAAAUUUCUUCAUGUUAAAAUUUAAGUAACAAAAUAAAGCAGUUAUCUAUUUUAUUUUGUUUUCUGAUAUACCUCUGAAUGAAUAUUCUCAAAAUAAGCAAAUGAAAUAGAUACAACAAGUUCAAAUUACUUAAAUUUGCAGGACAUUCAUUUUUAACUGUUUCUUAACCUUAACUGGACAUGAAUAGAAAUAAUUUUACAGUUCAAAUCUGCUUUGAUACUAAAUAUUUCCAAAAAAUCUCAUUCAAAUAUUAAUUUUAAUAUUGAAAUUGGGAAAACAUGUACCUUUUUUUUCCUAAAAAUUAGAUAACAUUUUCGUUUAAAAAUCCUCUUUGCAUUGAUAACAGAUAAACAAUUAAUAAAGUUGACGUUUGCAUUGGAUAUUGCUACAAAAGUAUAUAAAAAAUAUGAAAAACAAAUUAAAAAUGCAAAUGAGACAUUUAAAUGAUAACAUUGUAUGAAAAAACAAAAUGCAUUCAGUUACUGUGAAAAUAUCGCAAAUAUGUAAAAAUAUGAUGUGGCAAAAAUAGCAAAACAAAUAAUACAUUCUGACCUAUAUUAUGACAAGUCAAUUACAACAAGUUAACAACACUUCUGUGACAAUUAAUACAAUGUUAUGUCGGCUGUUCCAUAAAAAACAAGUAAAUACAAUGUUAUGUCGGCUGUUCCAUAAAAAACAAGUAAAUACAAUGUUUGCGGCUGUUCCAUAAAAAACAAGUAAAUACAAUGUUAUGUGGGCUGUUCCAUAAAAAACAAGUAAAUACAAUGUUAUGUGGCCUGUUCCAUAAAAAACCAGUAAAUACAAUGUUAUGUCGGCUGUUCCAUAAAAAAAGUAAAUACAAUGUUAUGUCGGCUGUUCCAUAAAAAAACAAGUAAAACAAUGUUAUGUCGGCUGUUCCAAAAAAAACAGUAAACAAUUUAUGUCGGCUGUUCCAUAAAAAACAAGUAAAUACAAUGUUAUGUCGGCUGUUCAUAAAAAAACAAGUAAAUACAAUGUUAUGUCGGCUGUUCCAUAAAAAACAAGUAAAUACAAUGUUAUGUCGGCUGUUCCAUAAAAAAACAAGUAAAUACAAUGUUAUGUCGGCUGUUCCAUAAAAAACAAGUAAAUACAAUGUUAUGUGGGCUGUUCCAUAAAAACAGGCAAAGCAGAUAGAAACAACUCUCCCAAACAGACAACACAGAAAAGUUCCUCCUAUACUGGCCGACAGUAAAGGCCCUCCUAAAUGGAGCAGACGGAAAACGCCCUUCAAAACUGAUCCUGUGAUCACUAAAGUACCAGGAUGUAACUAACUUAUUACCGAAUUAGUUGUGCAAAUUUUGGAUUUCAUCAGCAAACUAAGAUAUAAAACUAUGGAGAAGCAGAAUGAUUGUAAGGGAGACAACUAUACACUACAGUUCUAGUGGAUUAGACCAUUCAUAACUUCUUUACAAGAUGUCAAUAUAUCUAAUUUUUGUACUAAAUUGACAAGCUGAUGAAAAUAGUUAAAUCAAGUUAAAAAGGCGAUAGUCUGCAAAAAAGCAUCAUUCCAUUCAGAAACAUUAUUCAGACUCAGAACUGAAAUUUUUGUGCUCUUAAUCUAAAAUGGUGCAUGUCAGACCUAAAAUCUUUUUUAAAGUUACUUGCAAUUUUAAAGUCUGCUUUGACCUAUUCAGGAAUUUAGUCAAAAUCCUCCCACACAUGCUACCAUUAAACCAUGGGGGUUGUCUUGAAAAUGUCUGUACCAAGUCAGGAAUAUGACAGUUGUCCAUUUGUUUAAUGUGUUUUGUCAUUUGAUUUUGCCAUUUGAUUAGGGGCUUUCCAAUUGAAUUUUCCUCAGAGUUCAGUAUUUUUGUGAUUUUACCUUUUUCUUGACCAUUAAAAAUGUCUUUUUUACUACCUUAUAAUAUGUUUGAAUUGAACAGCCCUUAUUAUACACUAAAUCUAGAUCUCAUGAAUUCUUGUAGACCAAGUGAUCUUAGGUUUGCGUCAUAGCUUUCACUUUGUAGAGGGAAUAGCAUUCAGUAACCAUGAAGUACUAGUCAUCAAGACAUAAAAUAUGAAUAUGUAAAUUUAAUGUAACCAAAUAUUAAAUUAAUAUCUCUAAUCUAAUCAUUAAAAAUAAAGAUUUGCAUUAAACAUAAUUCAAGAUAAUAACCAGAAAUCUUAAAUCUAAUGCAUAUAAAAAUAUGACAUGGAUAGAUGCAUCAAAAGAUGAUAAUUUGAUAACUAAAAUCUAUAUAUGCAUAUACAAAUAUGACAUGGACAUAUAAUACUUUUUAAAUGAUAUCCUCAAAUUUCACCUACAUUACUGGUCCUUUUUUUUAUGAAUAAUAUGAUGGGGUUCACAUCAUUAAAUUUUAUCAGGACAUUAAUUUCUUUACCCUUUUGUACCAUGAUACAAAUCUAAACUCAAAAAUAGAGCAUAUAUAUAUAUAUAUCUAAUUCUAACUUUCAAUGAAAAUCUAAUUUAAAUGUUUGACUAGUUCAAAAAUUUCUAGAAUGCCAUCUGAAAAGUCUUAAUAUACAAGAAAUCUAUAUUUCAACAUGAUUUCUUAAUAGUAUUAGUAAGAGCUUUUAUUUUAUUGUGCAUAAGAAAUGUUUUAAUUAGUAGAAUUUCAUUUCAAAAAGUUACAAAUUUGUACCAAAAAUAUAAUUUAUAUGGAACACAGUGAAGAAUAUGUUACAGCCCAAUUGAAAAAACAAAACAUAGGAAAAAACAGAAACGAUAUAAAUUAUCAUUUUCAAUUAAAAAUCUAACUUCCAAUUUAACCUGAUCUUUUUUGUCAAAAUCUUGACAUCAAACAUCUUAGUUUUAAUAUAUUUUACCGCCAACAGCGAGUUUGUUCAGUGUGGUACAAUAGCAAUUCUUCAUAUAAAACUUAUAUAACAUCACAAUAAAAUACAUAUAAUACUGUUGCUUUACCAUGUAGAGUUCUUAUUGCAAUAACUAUACUAAUCUCAUAAAUAUAAACAUGUAAAAUGUUGCUUGAUCAUAAUUUCAAUAAGUUUAAAAAUCAU
rnacentral:lncRNA from 1 species